CAGUCUCCAGCCUGAAUUCCAGCCCUCCUGCGCCCUCCAGAGGCCCCGGCCCCACUUCACCAGCACCCCUGGCGCACAGCCACAGCCCUCUGCCGGGUGUCAGCCCGGAUUCGAGCCCCAGACCCCACACUGGAGGCAGCCCCACCUCCCCAGCCGCCCCCAUGCACAGCGACAGCCCUCUGCCGGCAGCCCCGGCCACGCCCCGGCACCCGGAUUUCACCCAGGGCAACCUCGUCCGUCUGGGCCUCGGCGCCGGAGUCCUGCUGGCCCUGGCGCUGGGGCUGGCCACGUCCUGCUGUAGCUGGGAGAGAGGGGGAACCCCCCUGCC